rnacentral:lncRNA from 1 species
AAAACCUGCUCUAUUUCCACCUCAUUUGCAAAAUGCUUGCUGCAAUCCCUCCUAGCUGGGAGGAAUCUGGAGACAGCUGGAGGUCAAGGAGAAUUCUACACAAUAAUUUGGCUGUGUCAGCUCUUCCAAAAGUGCGUACCAUCACCCUCCUUCAUCACCCUGUUCAACAAAGAAAAGACCCUUCAAUUAUCAGAAUUUUCUCUCUUAAAUAAUAGGACAUUAUGAACCAAGUCCUACACUGCCUGGUCCUCAGUCUCCCAAGGGGCCUGGCUCCAUUAUUCUUCCAUCCCUCAUUCCUUACCCCUGUCCUCUAAUUUCAGGUCUCAAUGGGCCCCUCACUGUCAUUGCACCUGCUCCUUCCCCUCUCCAGCACUCCAGCCUUGUCCUCCCUUUUGCCUUAUGUGUCCCACAGACAAUCCUCAGUUGCAUGACCACAGCUCACCCACUGCCCCUGCCCUUCAGCACUCAUGGCCUCUGUAGGUAAAUCAGUAGGAGAAGUUGCCCAAAGAUUUCUUAGACAGGCAAUGAGGCUCAGGUGAAGCCAGGGAAAGUAAAAACAGAGAGAACUCUUUUCUCUCACUUGGAGGAGGAGUUGGAAGAGGAAAGAGAACCCUAGGAACUGGGGAAUGGAGUAAAAGGCAGGAAAGCAUAGUGGUUAAGAAUGCACACUGAGUCAGACUUCAGACUGAGGUUCCAAUCUCAGUUCCAGCACUCACUG